rnacentral:lncRNA from 1 species
CAGACUCCUAAAAUAGGUAAUAUUUUAUUUAUAACACAUAUUUUAUCAAGGUCUACUGUACACUGGGAAAUUUUUGCACAGCACUAAAGACAUAAUCAAAAGCAUGUUGUAGUUUCACGGACCCUGAAUUAAGAACAGAGAAUAGGAAAGUGAAUAGUUUAUUAAAGAUCCACAGUUGCAGUAUGUGGGAGGACCAGACGCUCAAACUUCAUGGUUUGGUUCUAAGUGUUAAAACUAAGUAUGACAAUGGGAGACAUGAAACACACUGCUGUUUUGAACUUUUUGUACCAUUUUGAAAUCAGAACAGUAUUUAAGUGAGUAUCUCCUGUCACGGACCCUUUGUUCUGUGUGCUCUUCAGCGAUAAAGGUAACUGAGCCCACUAGCUCGACAUUAUUGCAAGGUUAGUAUGUAGCACAAGCAUGUUUUUCAUAUUUGGAUAAAAAAAAUGCAUGCUCACUUUUUACUUUAAACAUCUAAUGUAAUGUAAUGUGCAGCUACUCACAAAGCUGUACACAGCAAAUGAAAGACAUCGUAAAAAGGCGUUUAAAAAUGAACUAAAUGAAUUAGAAAGAAAAUAAAAUCUGAUUACUAAACCUUUGUAAAAGUGGACAAUUAUUUUAAUGUUGAGUAAUACAACGGCCAUAUUGAGGAAUGUGUGCUAUCGUUAAUUGUCGGAGAUGUUACAUAUUUUGUGCUUAAAUGUUUCACCAAGUAAUAAUUUAAUAACGCUUUAUUUUUGUUUCCUUUAAUCAUCCAAUAUUACCUAACACAAUGCUUCCGGUACGUGUUCCAAUAUCUGCGUGGCUCGGAGCAGUGCAGGAUGGGAACAGGAGCACCGCCACGGCACAAGCCUCCAUCUGUCUGCUUGUCGUCAUCUCCGUUCACAUCUUGCUCCACUUCUGAUGUCUCCAGUGUUGUGAGAAGCAGAGUUCAUUCUCUUCUGGAAGCAUAGACUGCAGGACAGUGUCUGCUGAGCAAACCCGUCUGCUCGGGUCUCAUUAGUAAAUUAACGAUAUCGACUGCGUGGUUCUCUUCAAAUGUUAAAAUUAGAAUGAUGAUGAUGUUAUUACUGACUGCACGUAUCGUGUACAAAAA